rnacentral:tRNA from 1 species
AGGUUAGUGGCUCAGCAGUAGAGCACAUGCUAGCAUGCAUGAGGUCCUGGGUUCAAUCCCCAGUACCUC